GACCGCGUAGCUCAGUUGGCAGAGCAUUGGGCUAGUAUUCCAAAGGUCGUAGGUUCGGAUCCCACCGUGGCCA